rnacentral:lncRNA from 1 species
GCCAGGCAUACAACCAGGCGCAGGCAAGCCCAUCCUUGCCCGUGGAGGCUUCAAGCUCCCACCCAACAAGGCCUACUCCCUCCACAUCCCAGCGGCCUGGUCCGGCCGCAUCUGGGGCCGUCACGGAUGCUCCUUCGACGCCCACGGCCGGGGCCGCUGCGCUACCGGCGACUGCGGCGGCUCCCUUUUCUGCAACGGCAUGGGCGGCACACCUCCGGCCACCCUCGCCGAGAUCACCCUGGGUUCGGAGCAAGAUUUCUACGACGUGAGCCUCGUCGACGGUUACAACCUGGCCAUCUCCAUCACCCCCUUCAAAGGGUCAGGCAAGUGUAGCUACGCGGGAUGUGUGAGCGAC